rnacentral:lncRNA from 1 species
CCAUCUCCAGUCCAUGGCAACAACAGCAGUACUUUUCCACUUGCUCGCUCUAUCAGAUUAGCAAUCCGCUGCUCAUUGUUAGGGCUUCAAGAGUAUCGGCCAUGACCUUCUAUUACGGAUGGUCUCUAUAUGUGUUUGGCUUCAUCUCACUUAAAUGGCGAGACUGAAAUCUCAUAUCUGUAAGAAAGGCUCUUACAUGCCCCUUUUUGUCAGGCAGAUCUAA